ensembl:lncRNA
UGGGAAGGAGCAUGGAAGAUUAGUCUGUCUUUUGAGGAAGCCCAGUACAAUCUAGGAGGAAAGCAGAAUGUAACAACCUCUCCUCUUCAGUCCUGGCAGUAAAAGACUUCUAAGUCCUAUGUCUGGGGCCCUUGACACAAGAAAGAUAUGGAGUGUUUGGAGAGGGUCCAGAGGAGGGCCACAAAGAUGAUCCACGGGUUGGAGCACCUAUCCUAUGAAGGCAGACUGAAGGAACUGGGCUUGUUCAGUCUGGAACAGAGAAGGCUGCAGGGAGACCUCAUUGCAGCCUUCCACAGGGUGGAGAAGCAGCUGAAGGGCUGACGCUGGUCCUC